rnacentral:rRNA from 1 species
AGCAGUAGCCGCGGUAAGACGAACCGUGCGAACGUUAUUCGGAAUUACUGGGCUUAAAGCGCGUGUAGGCGGGCCGCCACGUCGGUUGCUGAAAUCCCCCGGCUCAACCGGGGAAGUGGCAUCGAUACGAGCGGCCUUGUGGGGGGUAGGGGGAUCUGGAACUUCCGGUGGAGCGGUGAAAUGCGUUGAGAUCGGAAGGAACGCCCGUGGCGAAAGCGAGGUCCUGGACCCUUUCUGACGCUGAGACGCGAAAGCCAGGGGAGCGAACGGGAUUAGAUACCCCGGUAGUCCCUGUCUCUUAUA